rnacentral:rRNA from 1 species
GCAGCAGCCGCGGUAAUACGUAGGUGGCAAGCGUUGUCCGGAAUUAUUGGGCGUAAAGGGCUCGCAGGCGGUUUCUUAAGUCUGAUGUGAAAGCCCCCGGCUCAACCGGGGAGGGUCAUUGGAAACUGGGAAACUUGAGUGCAGAAGAGGAGAGUGGAAUACCACGUGUAGCGGUGAAAUGCGUAGAGAUGUGGAGGAACACCAGUGGCGAAGGCGACUCUCUGGUCCGUAACUGACGCUGAGGAGCGAAAGCGUGGGGAGCGAACAGGAUUAGAUACCCCUGUAGUCCCUGUCUCUUAUAC